GCCAGUGUGGCUCAAUGGAUAGAGCGUCGGCCCGUGGACUGAAAGUUCCCAGUUUGAUUCUGGUCAAGGGCA
rnacentral:tRNA from 1 species